UAUUUGAAGGGGUGCUUUUACGGCUGAGAGAGGUUUUACCUUAACCCAUAACCUGAUCCGGGUAAUGCCGGCGUAGGAAAAAA
rnacentral:ncRNA from 1 species